rnacentral:lncRNA from 1 species
AACAGAUGGAGUGAUUGGAGGCACCAGACUCUGGCUCUUUAGGAAACUGGAUGUAAACUCAUGGUAACAUUUCUUUUUAACUUCCUGAAUACCUUCCUUUAUAAGUCUUAAUGUCUGAUGGUGGUCUCCAAUACUACAAACUUGGGAUGUUCACAAACACAGUACUAGUUUUCCCUAGGGCACACAAAGCAUUGUCCUUUCAGAAGUCCCAUAUUGCCUCCAUUUCAUGCCAGUUUAACCUAACAGUCUUCAGAGUUUUAUCUGGCAACUAGAAUAAUGUAGAAUCUCCCCAUGUCAGGCUGAAUGCUGUAAGUACAUUAUGAACUUCCUGCUUAAGGCUUUCUCAAUAAAUGUCUACCCGUUGGCUCUUGGCAACUUUUCUCCCAAGCCUCUUCCUUUGUUUCUUUGGUCAUUAUGGGACAAAUCUGAAAUUCAGGGAAAGGGGCCAACUUAUUCUGUAUUUCAGCAAAGACCCCGAAAGGAAAGAAAAUGGAAAGUUUGGACUGGGUCGAAGCUAGCAGACCUCCACUUGACUCACUUUGACCAUCUUUCUCUGGUACCCAGAACAAACUGCCAGUGCUUUUAAAACCUACUACAGUUACUGUUCCUGUCUUCAAAAGACAAAUACUUUUUCAAAUUAGACAUUCAUUUCACAAUAUCCUGAUUCUGGUUUACUACGAUGCAAGAACCUCUCUGUAUAAAGUUUACUUAUAAACAUUUUGCAGUAGAAAUAGUCCAUUUUAGUUAAAAUAACCAUUAAAAAGGAAACUCUCCAACAACCACAGAAGUUCUGCUAAAACCUGAGCCUUUGAACAUGUUCACAUUGAUCCAGAUUUUAUGUUUAAUAGGGUUCUUUCUCUAUUUUCUGUUGAGACUGGUAGCAUAUUUCCAUUUGUUCUAGUUUUCAGUUACAAUAUUUAUUCAUGGUUGUCUGGUGGAGGAUGGGGGAGGAAAAUUUGAUCCAAAGUUUCUCAUCAGAACAUCACUAUUUCCACAGAGUGGAGAAAGUGGACUUGCCUUAGGAUAUAGGAGAGGCUUCAAAUGUCCAUCAACUGAUGAAUGGAUAAAGAAGAUGUGGUUUAUAUACACAAUGGAAUACUACUUGGCAAUGAGAAAGAAUGAAAUCAUGCCAUUUGCAGCAACGCUGAUGGAACUGGAAGGUAUUAUGCUGAGUGAAAUAAGUCAGUCAGAGAAGGACAUACAUCAUAUGUUUUCACUCAUAUGUGGAUCUUGAGAAACUUAACAGAAGUCCAUGGCAGGAGGGAAGGG